rnacentral:siRNA from 1 species
UAUGUGUUUGCAUGCUUAUA